UACGAAGGGUGCAAACGUUGCUCGGAAUCAUUGGGCGUAAAGCGCACGUAGGCGGCUCUGCAAGUCGGAUGUGAGAUCCCUCGGCUCAACCGAGGACGUGCAUCCGAAACUGCGGAGCUUGAGUAUGGAAGAGGGUCGCGGAAUCCCCGGUGUAGAGGUGAAAUUCGUAGAUAUCGGGGGGAACACCAGUGGCGAAGGCGGCGACCUGGGCCAAUACUGACGCUGAGGUGCGAAAGCGUGGGGAGCAAACAGG
rnacentral:rRNA from 1 species